rnacentral:sRNA from 1 species
UUGCGAGCCGAACCCGGGAGCGGGCGCCAUGGUGCUGUUGCACGUGCUGUUUGAGCAUGCUGUCGGCUACGCGCUGCUGGCGCUGAAGGAAGUGGAGGAGAUCAGUCUGCUGCAGCCGCAGGUGGAGGAGUCCGUGCUCAACCUGGGCAAAUUCCACAACAUCGUUCGUCUGGUGGCCUUUUGUCCCUUUGCGUCAUCCCAGGUUGCCUUGGAAAAUGCCAACGCCGUGUCUGAAGGUAAGUCGGCCACCGCCAAGCAUCACAGAGAGAUGUGGUUCCUUUCGAUAUCCUCUCGGGCAGCUUGUGAUAGUAUUUGCCGUCCUUGGCUGGCUCUGAGUCUGAUAGGUGUGAGGCAGUAUUUGAGACAUACAAUGUGUAAUUUGAAAUAAUUGUCUUCACAGAGCUCAAGGUCUGGGAACUGUGCUAGACCAAACUGUUUAAAGCAGACGAUGUGGGAUGUGUGUUACGUUUCCUUGUGGGCACUGUAGUGGCAAAUUAUUUUUUAUUUUUAUUUUUUUUGAGAUGGAGUCUGUCCCCCAGGCUGGAGUGCAGUGGCAAGAUCUGGGCUCACUGCAACCUCUGCCUCUCUGGUUCAGGCGAUUCUCCUGCCUCAGCCUCCCGAGUAACUGGGAUUACAGGCCUGUGCCAGCCACCAUGCCCGGCU